rnacentral:rRNA from 1 species
GUGCCAGCCGCCGCGGUAAUACGUAGGGGGCAAGCGUUGUCCGGAAUCAUUGGGCGUAAAGAGCGCGUAGGCGGUCCGGUUAGUCAGCUGUGAAAUCCGGGGGCUCAACCCUCGGGGGCCGGCUGAUACUGCCGGACUAGAGUCCGGAAGAGGCGAGUGGAAUUCCUGGUGUAGCGGUGAAAUGCGCAGAUAUCAGGAGGAACACCAAUGGCGAAGGCAGCUCGCUGGGACGGUACUGACGCUGAGGCGCGAAAGCGUGGGGAGCAAACAGGAUUAGAAACCCGAGUAGUCC